GACGGAGGAUGCAAGCGUUAUCCGGAAUCACUGGGCGUAAAGCGUCUGUAGGUGGUUUAAUAAGUCAACUGUUAAAUCUUGAGGCUCAACCUCAAAAUCGCAGUCGAAACUAUUAGGCUAGAGUAUAGUAGGGGUAAAGGGAAUUUCCAGUGGAGCGGUGAAAUGCGUAGAGAUUGGAAAGAACACCGAUGGCGAAGGCAGCUUGCUGCACGAUCAUUGACACUGAGGCGCGAAAGCGUGGGGAUCAAACAGG
rnacentral:rRNA from 1 species